UACGGGGGGGGCAAGCGUUGUUCGGAAUUACUGGGCGUAAAGGGCGCGCAGGCGGCGGUGCUGGCCCGGCGUGAAAGCCCCCGGCUCAACCGGGGAGGGUCGUCGGGGACCGCACCGCUUGAGGGCGGUAGGGGCCGGUGGAAUGCCUGGUGUAGUGGUGAAAUGCGUAGAGAUCAGGCAGAACACCUGGGGCGAAGGCGGCCGGCUGGGCCGACCCUGACGCUGAGGCGCGAAGGCGUGGGGAGCGAACGGG
rnacentral:rRNA from 1 species